ACAACUGUUGUAACUUUUCCUUCAAAAUUGCUUUAUUUAUUCCCAUAUUUUUUUUUAUUUUUCAAGCGAAGUUUCUUUUUUUUAUAUUAAUGUAAUUAAAAAAAGAUAAAACUUGGGAUCUUUUUUCUGUCUUUUAUGUACAAGCAAGAAAAAAAAAAACAAACAAACAACAUGUUUAGGAAAUAACAGUGAACAUAAAAGAAUCCCUGCACGAUAACACUGUAAAAAAAAAAAAAAAAAAAAGAAAACAAAAAGCAUUAGAGUGGAAUCAAACACCUGUAAAGUUUACAGCUCCUUACUUUAGCAACAAGCUCACUAGCUCUCGUUCACACACACACACACACACACACACACACACACACACACACACACACACACACACACACAAAGCAGGAUGUCAGCAGGUAUAAGUGUACGUGAGGUGGGAGUGUUCACACUACACAGCGCAGCCAAUGUUCUCAUUAGAAGGAAUGGAAAAGACGAUAUACUGAAUCAUUCACACACACACCGAUGGUCCAGUGUGUCAACAAUACUGAUUCUCAAACUCUCACACACUCUAACACUGCCGUCGUCGACUCUUAAACACAUGCAGUCCAACGCGGGGGCCAGUUUAUGGCACGGUACGGUCAAGUUUCCUUAUUUUGGUUUUCCCAACAUGCGUGAUCGAAGGCGUUAUUCCUAUCAGACUCACACACACACACACACACAUACACGAUAAGAGCGCACUGCUGGUGUUCCACCGUUUUACAGUGUGUCACUUGGUAACCGUAAAUCAGCUGCGUGAUUCGUUUUGAUCAGAUUAUGGAGUGGCGAUCGUGUACAGAAGCCCAUUUUUAAUAAAAACAAAGUGAAAAUAUGAGAUUAAAAGUUACUUAAAAAAAAAAAAAGGUCCAGUGUCAGAUUUGAGGUGCUCUAUUUACAGAAUAUGACAAAAUAUAAACAUGUAUAACUGUUUUUUUUUUAGUGUGUCAUGACAUGAAAAUAAGAAUCUUUAUGGUUUUGUUACCUUAAAUUAAGAGUCGGCUCUUGAUAGGACCUUUUCUCAGGGCAUAUUUUACAGCCAUUGUAAGAGGAGGGUGAGGCGACAGGGUUGCAAUCAGCAACUACACCGCUAGACGCCACGAAAUCUUGCACACUGGUCCUUUAAUAUCUCAUAAUUUUACUUAAAAAACUGACUUUUUAAUGUGAGAAUUCUGAUUCGACCUCAGUCAGUCAAACUCUUAAAAUUUUGUCAUUAUUUGGACUUUUUUUUUUAUACAAGUCAAAACAUUAAGUCAGUGUUUUUUUUUUUGUCUGAUAAUUUAGAACUACAAGUUUGACUUCCAAAUUUAGAAAUCUAAUCUAAUAACUAACCACAUUAAGAGCAGCAGGUAGUUUUAAUGAAACCUUAAAGUACUGCCUGGCGAAAGUGGGCCUCCGUACAGGAGAUUAUACGAUUCUGAGAAAUAGCAGCAAGUUCAGACAAACGCACGAAAAUUUUGAAAACAAUUCAGUGUCACUCGACUUUGAACUUUCACCGUGCGAUCAAACAAAUUCUGAGGUAAGAAAAGGAAACGACGGGGGGCGCGACUCAGACAGAAUCCGGCGGAGAAGUCCUGUUGUGUUCUGGCUUUGUUUAUUUCACGUACCCGGCGUCUAAACUGUGAGUCUGACUCAGAAUUUACGCUGUAAAAUAAAAGAGAUACGAAGUUUAAUUUGGUUAGUGAGCGUGAGGGAGCGCCAAUUAUCGAUGAAGCCGGUUAAUUGGCGAGAUAAAAAGUUAUUUCCCGAUUGUUUUACGGCGGUUGCGUUCAGCCCGGAUUCUGUCUGAAUGGACCCUGAAUGCAGUUAAAUAACCGUGAAUUUUCACUUUCAAGUAAGGAAACAGCUCCUUUAAAUUAAC